UCCAGGGUAGCCUAGUGGACAUGACACCUGCCCGGUAAGCAGAAGGUUGUGGGUUCGAUUCCCGCCCCUGGAC
rnacentral:tRNA from 1 species